rnacentral:sRNA from 1 species
UUAUAGAUGAAGAGUUCUGUUUUCUCACU